GAUGAACGCUGGCGGCGUGCCUAAUACAUGCAAGUCGAGCGAACAGACGAGGAGCUUGCUCCUCUGACGUUAGCGGCGGACGGGUGAGUAACACGUGGAUAACCUACCUAUAAGACUGGGAUAACUUCGGGAAACCGGAGCUAAUACCGGAUAAUAUAUUGAACCGCAUGGUUCAAUAGUGAAAGACGGUUUUGCUGUCACUUAUAGAUGGAUCCGCGCCGCAUUAGCUAGUUGGUAAGGUAACGGCUUACCAAGGCAACGAUACGUAGCCGACCUGAGAGGGUGAUCGGCCACACUGGAACUGAGACACGGUCCAGACUACUACGGGAGGCAGCAGUAGGGAAUCUUCCGCAAUGGGCGAAAGCCUGACGGAGCAACGCCGCGUGAGUGAUGAAGGUCUUCGGAUCGUAAAACUCUGUUAUUAGGGAAGAACAAAUGUGUAAGUAACUAUGCACGUCUUGACGGUACCUAAUCAGAAAGCCACGGCUAACUACGUG
rnacentral:rRNA from 1 species